UCUGAUUAUGUGAAGGUCUGGGUA
rnacentral:sRNA from 1 species